rnacentral:sRNA from 1 species
AUUCUGCCCAUGCGGGGAAGGAUGAGAAGCUUCGACUAAGGUUCGGCUCGAGCGUCAGCGAGAGAGCGUUGCCGCAGGCAACGAC